rnacentral:miRNA from 1 species
UGGGUGGGGGUUUAGAAACCGCCUCUCUUCACUUACUUCUGAAAGCUAAGAGGUAGUGGACACUGCUGUGGCUAUACCUCUUGCCUCCC